GCCCAGGUGGUGAAACGGCAGACACGUACGGUUCAGGGCCGUAUGCUCGCAAGAGUGUGGGAGUUCAAAUCUCCCCCUGGGCACAA
rnacentral:tRNA from 1 species